rnacentral:rRNA from 1 species
GUAGGUGGCAAGCGUUGUCCGGAAUUAUUGGGCGUAAAGCGCGCGCAGGCGGUCCUUUAAGUCUGAUGUGAAAGCCCACGGCUCAACCGUGGAGGGUCAUUGGAAACUGGGGGACUUGAGUACAGAAGAGGAAAGCGGAGUUCCAAGUGUAGCGGUGAAAUGCGUAGAGAUUUGGAGGAACACCAGUGGCGAAGGCGGCUUUCUGGUCUGUAACUGACGCUGAGGCGCGAAAGCGUGGGGAGCAAACAGGGAUUAGAUACCCUGGUAGUCCACGCCGUAAACGAUGAGUGCUAAGUGUUAGGGGGUUUCCGCCCCCUUAGUGCUGCAGCUAACGCAUUAAGCACUCCGCCUGGGGAUACGGCCGCAAGGCUG